AUUGAACGCUGGCGGAAUGCUUUACACAUGCAAGUCGAACGGCAGCACGGGGGCAGCCCUGGUGGCGAGUGGCGAACGGGUGAGUAAUACAUCGGAACGUGCCCGGUCGUGGGGGAUAACGUAGCGAAAGUUACGCUAAUACCGCAUACGAUCUGAGGAUGAAAGCGGGGGACCUUCGGGCCUCGCGCGAUCGGAGCGGCCGAUGUCAGAUUAGGUAGUUGGUGGGGUAAAGGCCUACCAAGCCGACGAUCUGGAGCUGGUCUGAGAGGACGACCAGCCACACUGGGACUGAGACACGGCCCAGACUCCUGCGGGAGGCAGCAGUGGGGAAUUUUGGACAAUGGGCGCAAGCCUGAUCCAGCCAGUCCGCGUGCAGGACGAAGGCCUUCGGGUUGUAAACUGCUUUUGUACGGAACGAAAAGGCUCUGGCUAAUACCUGGGGCUCAUGACGGUACCGUAAGAAUAAGCACCGGCUAACUACGUG
rnacentral:rRNA from 1 species